AUUAUAUUCAGUGAUAUGAAAAAUAAGAAAGACAGUUGUACAGUAAGUCCCCCAUAUAGAAACCAUCAAGUUGUGAACUUUCAAAGUUUCGAAACUGUGUUCCAUCAGCGUCCGGUGUGAGUGAAAUUGCAGUUUGCCCUCCGUCUCCUGUUGCUGACGAUCCUUCAGCUCUACCAUCUCCCACCUCCUCCCCCUCCUCCAGUCAGUAACUCUUCUUGCCUGUUCACUCGAUGCCAGCCCCUGGAUGCCAGCUACUGUACUUUUCAAGGCAUAAAAGCAUACUGCUCAGACUCUACUAUGGAUUUGCUACCAACAUUCAAUGAAAUUGCACAUCAGUUGAAGAAAACUUUGAAGAGGGCGUCAAGUCUAAAGAUCAUUACCUGAAACAAGAGUGCAUUAUUUCCUAGUUACCGUCCCACAACCAUCACCACCUAUCUUGUCCAAAGUACUCAGUUGCCUCAAGAAGAAUUAAGAUUAUUCUAAUGGGACUGAAAGAAGAAAUAGGGAUGGACGAAAGACUCAGCUUUUAACAUCAGACGUUGGAUUUUGUUGCAUCUGCAACCAGCUGGCCUUCGUUGGAAAAUAACUGCUAAAUUCCUUUAAAUUCUCGUUAAUCUAUUUGGAGUCAAGCUUGGAAGAUGAGAUCACUUAUUUCUUCCAGAGGAAUACCUCCACUUCCAUCAAAAAGGCUGAGCCAUGAGGCUUAGCAUUCCUUAAGAAGGGAUGCGUUUGCAAGUCAGACAAGAAGAGGAAAUUCUCCCUUUAGCUCAGGUAGAGUGUGGGAGUGAGGAAGGUGGAGAUGUGUAAGGAUUAGGCUCGAUUCUGAGUGAUAGGAAAUCUAAACAGUGGUUGAAAUAAGAUAGAAAUGUAUUUUUCUCUUGUAUAGUUGCC
rnacentral:lncRNA from 1 species